UGAGUGGGUGGUUGGUUUAAUAGUAUAAUCUAACGGGUGGAAAUGAUCAAAGGAUUGAUCUAACGAUAGAAAACUCAAUAGUACCAAGGACUUGAUACUAUCGAUAGUAUAGUAGCCGGACUCUAUAUAUAUAUAUAUAUAUAUAUAUAUAUAUAUAUAUAGUAGGGCUACUGUGCUAUUAGGAGCACAGCAGCCCUUGUGCUCCUAACUAUUUAACCGCCCAUCAAGUUUGAUGAGUGGUUAGAAUGAGAGAGUGAGGGGAUAUUGGGAAGAAAUUAGGUGUUUCAAUUUCUCUUCUUCUUGAAUUUUUCUUUAAUAUCUCCUCCCUCACUCAUUCUAACCACCCAUCAAAUUUAAUGGGUGGUUAGAAAGUUAGGAGUACAAGGACUGCUGUACUCCUAAUAGCACAAUAACCUUGCUAUAUAUAUAUAUAUAUAUAUAUAUAUAUAUAUAUAUAUUCGGAUUUGGGUCAGGUACGGUCAAAAUCCAUUCCCAAAUCCAAAAAUCCGCCGAGUUUUCGUUUUGAUACCUAUAUCCAAAACUUAUUUCCAUUUAAUAUUGAAUAUAUUCGCUCCGUUGGGAUUUAUGCUCGGAUAAAACAUCGGGCAUCCAUAUACCUAUUGACAUCUCUAAUUUCUAGAUACCGUAUGUGAGGUGCUAUUUGGUUUCUCAAAAAAGUGUGAAAUUUUUUUUUUCUAAUUUUUUGUAUGUUUAGUUUGAAAAAAAAUAAGUAUUUUUGAAAAAAAAAAUUCAUAUAUUAUGAAAAAUUAGUAUUUUCGUUUUUCUAUUAUUUUUAGAAAAAACAAAAAUAUUAGCUUUCUAUAAAACUACGAAAGGAAAUUUAUCAUAAAAACUCGUUUUUCUUAAAAUCAAAUUGAUAGAAAACUAAAAAAAUAAAUUUUCAUGAAAAACUUUUUUCUUGAAAAUUAUUUUUUCACAUUUUUUCUGAGGAGCGAAACAGCCUCUAAGCACUUACGCAGUUACGCAUAAAUAAAUGCUUAUGGUGUUUGAAAAUUUAUUAUUAAAGAAUAAAAUAGUGACCCACAAUUUGUACAGUGGAUGGAGGAAUCGAUCGCGAAACCUCUCAGCACAAAUUUAUAGUGGACGGAGGAAUCGAGCUCAUGGAGGAAUUGUGCUUGGAAUCUCUUAGCACGAAGGGCUUUAGUACUUAUUCUUAUUUUAUAUUAUUUGAAAGAUAUACAAUAAGAAACGAUUUAAAAAUAUUAAUGCUAUUACGGUUUUGUUUGGACACAUGAAAAUUUUUUUUCAGUAUAUUUUUUUUAAAAAAAUUACUAAAAAAAGUUGUAGGAUUUAAUAGAUAAAAAGAGAAAUAUCAGUUUUUAAGCUAUUAUUUGGGAUAAGAUGAAUUAUCCUAUAGUUGAAAUUUGCUAUCUGACCAAAUCAUAAAUAUCGAAUAAUUGUUAACCUCUAUUUGAUGCACAAAUAUAUUGUUCCACAUAUUUUCAAAAUUUAUUUAAAAAGUUCAUACAUUUGGUAGAUAAGUAAUAGGCUAAAUUACAUAAAAUUUUUCUAUCAAAAUUUGAUUUUUCACUUUUCUUCCUGUCAUUUAAAAACCUACACUUUGCCCUCUUAUAGAAUAAAAAAUAUUUAUAAGAGGGUACGGUGUGAAAUAUGAUGACAAAAUAACCAUUUUAUCCCUCACCAUUUUCGUCUAUUUUCUUAUUUUGCUCAUCCGCCAUCUCGAUCGGCCGCGGUUCGCACCUCGAUCGGCCACAGUUCCUCUCCAUUUUCCUCUCCACCUGCUCCCUCUCUCCUCCUACACUCUCGUCGCCCUUCCAUUUCAGCAACAAUAGAGAGGAAAUCGAGAUAGGCGUGGAUGGAAAGGUGGGUAAGGACAACGAGAGCGAAGGCGAGACAACGGAGGAAGGCGAGAAGGUGUUUGUGGGUGCGGACGGAGAUGUGGGCGAGGCGAGGCAGUGAAGGAGAGCAAGGCGGCGAGGCUGCGAGGCGGAGGAGGGCGAAGCACAAUAAAGAGAGCGGAGGGUAUUUUUGGUAUAAAAAAUAUUUUAUAACGGAACCCUAACGGAUCACUAACGGUUGGGGUGAAGUGAAUAUUUUUUAUUUUUUAAGGAGGUAAAGUAUAGGUUUAUAACGAGGGGAGGAAAAAGUGAAAAAUCAGAUUUUGAUAAGAAGGUUUUCUAUAAUUUAGCCUAAGUAAUAUGAUCAAAUGUCUAAAAUUUGAUGCUAUAGUCAGUCUUCAAAUAAUUUUUUCGAAUAAAAUAAAUUAUUUCGUAGCUUAAAUAUACUAUUUUACCCAAUUACUGACAUCAAAAAUUUUUUUAAAGCAAAAAUUAAACUUCUUUCAUACAAUCACACAGAAAAUUUUCAUACCGAAUAAGUUCUGACGUACAAACAAAAUCUUAAAGAGUCAAAAUCAAAAUCUUUACUCUCAAUUAUAUAAGAAAAUUUUCAUACGGAAUAAGUUAUAGCAACAUCCAAACAGAAUCUAAAAGGGUACGGUGUAUGAGAUGUACUAUACACCCGGUGCAGGCGAUAAUAUCUCGUGCUAACUACUCGCUCUGACACGUGCCGUGGUCCCCACACCACAAAACCUCUCACACUGUGGCCCCCACCGCUGCGAGAGUCGAAGUCGUUAUCUUCGCGCCGCCGCCGCCGCCGCCGCCAAAUCCCUUCUCCGCCGCCGCCGCCGCCACAGUUGCCGCCGUAAAAACAAUAGUCCUAUUCCCCGCAUUCGCGACAUUCGCGACGUUGACAUCAAACUCGUCGUCGCCGACGUCGUCACCGCUUUCUCCUCCUCCAUAGAGAAACCUUUUAACAAUUCGCGCGCUCGGAUCCACCACCGCGGCCUCCCAGGCGGCGUCGGCGUCCCGGCCCCGCCUCCGGAACGCCUCCGUCGCGUCGACUCUGCGCACGUCCCACCGCGAGCACAGCCGGCGGAUCUUCUCCAGCUGGCAGCACGUCAGCUUGCACGUGUUCGCCUUGAUCUCGUCGAUCGCCGCUGCCAGCAGCCUCGAGCGCUCUUUCUCGUCCGACGUCGAUCGCUCCGACCGCAGGUACCCGUCCAUUUCCGGCACCCCUAUCGCCCUCCGCACCCCCUUUGUGUAAUCCGCCUUUGGAUUGGUAUCAAAUAGCGCUCGCACCUGAUAAAUAUAAAAUAUUAAAAAUAUUAUUUUUACGUACGUAUCGGAGAAAAUUAUUUAUUUAUUUAUUUAUUUUGUCCAGACGGAGCGAUAGAGUAAUCGGUUGUUUCACAAUAGCAGACACGUACGAUACCUCAGCUAUCAUCCCCCGCUCGACCAUCUGGUCGACGCGCUCCGCGACGAACUCGUGCAGCAGCGGCGGCGCGACGUCGACCCAAAGGAAGCAGCAGUCGAACCUGGAGGCCAGCCCCGGCGACGCCGCGUCGGUGCCGCCGCCGUCGAUCAGCUUCUCGAUGUAGGAAUUCGAGCCACCCGCGACGAUCGGGAGCCGCCCACACCGCGCGAUCGCUUCGGCCACGGCGGCCGCGUCACGGCAGAACUCAGCGGCCGCAUAGUCGGCAUCGGGCGGCACACCGCCGAUGAGGUGGUGCGGCACGCCGCGCCGCUCGGCAUCAGUGACCUUGUUGGUGACAACGUCGAGGCCAUCGUACACCUGCAUCUUGUCGGAGUUCACGACCUCGCCGCCGAACCGCAGCGCCAGGUCCACCGCCAGCCGCGACUUCCCCGUCCCCGUCGCCCCCAUCACCACCACCACCGCCUUAUUUUUCCGGCUCAUCGGAAACGACGGUCCGCACAUCGCGAUCGGCUCCGGCCAAACCGGUCGAAUUAUUCGCCGGCGAUCGGUUGCCGGAAUAAUCUGCAGGUUGUUGAAGUGUGCCAUUAACAUCACUCUCUCUCUAUAUGUACAUAUAUAUAUGAUGAUCCUAGGUAGUUCAAAGGAGAGUUAUAUCUAUAUAUAUAGCACUACAUACGUACAAAUAUAUACAUAUAUAUAGUUUCUGAAGAGUAUGAAAAAUAAUGAAGCACCUUGAAAUGAUUAGAAAUGAUAUGUAAAUGUAUAUAUAAGUUUAUCCUAAUUACAAAGGUGGACGCGGCGACCAGUGGGGAAAUUGGCUUUAGGGUGGUGGAUUUUUAAAUUUAAAUUUUCUAGGAUUAUAUUGUAACGGUCACAAUCAAUAUUGGGGGCUUUUGUUGAAGGAUGUAGAGUAGAGUGACUGGGACGAAAAAAUGGGCAUGGAUUUGAGGAGUCUCCUCCCUUUCUCUUGGCACAUUGGCUUAAGUAAUAAUGUGUGAGUGACUAGAACCAUCUUUUAUAGCCCCUAACAUUUACACUUUUUGCACCUUUGAUUAAAAUAAUUAAAAAUAAAAUAGAAAAUUGACACCUUUCAUACAAUUUGAAAAAUGAGUCAAAGCCUAAAGCCUAGACAGCUCUUAAAGGCUUUUUAGGAUUUAGGGUUUAAGGUUUAGACUCUUUAGAGUACUUCAAUGGACUGCUUGGUUUUCGGGAUUGUAAUGUUUCGGAGGACUUUAGCGACUCAAAAGCGUUGAACGUGCAUGAAUGAUUGGAUUAUUAUUGUAUCCGGUUAGGUCAAGUAAUUCCGCUACAAUGAUAUAAUCGAAACUCACCGAAAACAUCGGGAUCGAACAACUCGUUUCAAGAAGAUCAAUCUAAAAGAAAAUAAAUGAUUGCAAUGUUUUAGGAGAGUUUAGCAGCUGAAAGGCGUGGAAGGUGAAUGAUUGGAUUAUUUUAUCCAAGUUAGCUCAAGUAAUUCUUCUAUAAUGAUAAAAAUCAAAAUAUCACGUAAAACAUUGGGGUUGAACUACUUGUAUGAAAAAGAUCAGUAUGAAAGAAAAUAAUCUAAAAGUAUCUUUAACAUCCUGUUAACGUGAAUAAUAGAUCUGAAAGAUGCGUGAAAAACAACAUGAAAUUGGUAGAUUAGCGGCAGCUUAGGAUUGGUUUUGAUAUUAUAUUAACCAAAAAUAUCAAUCCAAUAGAGGUGGAAUGUUAACAAUAAGAGUCCUAUAUUGGAUAUAUGCAAAAUAGACUCCCAAGCUGUAUAUAAUACGUAGGAACGCGGGAUCUCGAAUAUCAACUAUCAAAUUCUUUGCCACUUGCACUAGAGACGGUCGGUAUAGUACAUAGGAUAUUUUUAUCUAUUAGCUUAAGUUUUUGGGUUGAAUAUGAGGCUCACAACUAAUACGACGAUGAAUUAUUUGAAAAAUAUUAAAACACACAAAGUUAUAAAAGGUGUUGCUUAGUGUGGUCAACCAAACCAAGAGAACUAAUUAAUUAACCACCCUACUGAUUUUAUAAUAAUGUUAAUUAAUUAGGAGCACUCACCUCCGCUUUAGUGUUCGGCAUAAAAAGUGUCUUUUGCAUUGAAUAUUGCUUAAGAAAAUUUAGGUAAAGAGUCGGGGGUCUAAUUCCUUUUGAUGAAUUAGGGUUUGUUAUCGCAGAUGUAGUGCUCAUCUCAUUUAAAACAAAUAUCAUUCGUGUAUAAGCAAUAAGGUGGGUACGAACAACAGGAAACCUUGUUGCAUAUAUAUAUAUAUAUAUAUAUAUAUAUAUAUAUAUAUAUAUAUAUAUAUAUAUAUAUAUAUAUAUAUAUAUGCACCCAGUGCACCAUGCACCAUUUCCUUGGAAGUGAGUGCUCCUAAUUGGAUGUGUUCUUGGAAUACAAAGUAGAACAGGUUUAUAGUGAGUUUUGCAACUAAAGAGAAAACAAAGUUCAACAUGAUCUAUAACGCUUGAAACAUUUAGAAAUUAAAUUUUAUGUUUUUUCGAUAUUAUUCUCUUGUCCAUCAAAUAGGCACAAAAAUAAACGACUGAAAAUGAAUAUCCUUUAAAAAAUAAUGAUAAGCUUGUUUUAAAGAAUUUAAUGAAUUUUUUAAUCAAAAUUCAAUUGAUAUGGAUAUUUUUACGCUGUUAAAUAAGAAAACGUCUUAUAUUGAUCAUUAAAAUUAUAAAUUUUAAAACUCUUUGAUCAUUAGGUCAAUAAUGUCGAAAAAAUUUAAAAUUUGAUUUUUAGAUACUUUAAGUGGUAUAAAUCAUAUUCAACAGUACUGACCAUCGAUUUGGGGACUCCAUCAUCGAAAAUAAAUGCAACGGAGCUCGUUUGCUACUGAUAGUAUUUCAACUCAACUCUCUCUCUCUCUCUCUCUCUCUCUCUCUACACCAAUAACUUGGUACUUUUAAAAGCAUAGCAGCUUAAUUUUAUAUAUAUAUAUAUAUAUAUAUAUAUAUAGGAUUAUUAUACUCUUAUAAAUUUAGACAUCUNUAUAUAUAUAUAUAUAUAUAUAUAUAGUACGCCUUCUGUGUUUUGGAAAGUACGGAAACCUUCGUGCUUGUAAGUUAUUUUCGUUGACGGGAUAUCCGAUUCGACGAUUGGCUUCAUUAAGUAUGAUUUAUGUUAUUAGAACUAUUUAGAAACCAAAUUUUAUAAUUUUUAGACAUCACGUAUCAAGUGAUCAAUUAAAAAAAUGACUAUUUUAACGGUCGAUGUGACACGUUUAUAAGUUCAACGGUAUAGAAGAGUCCAAAUUACAUGACACUUUAACAGAAAAUUCUACUUAAUAUCAAGAGCAAGAACAAUACUUUCAAUUUAAAAUUUAAGUCUUUUAUCAUCAUUUUUUAUAAGAUUUUUAUUUUCAUCUAUUCAUUUUGAGGCCACUCGUUCACUAAGCAAACAAAAUAAAAAAAAAUUAUAAAAUUUGAUUUCUAAAUAGUCCUGUGCCUAAAGAAGCCGAUCACCGAAUUGGAUGUCUCAUCAUUGAAACUAACUUAUAAGCACGAAAGCCUCUGUGCUUUCGAAAGAGUAGGAGCCUCUCUCUCUAUAUAUAUAGAGAGAGAGAGAGAGAGUUGAGCUAGAAUACUCUCAAAAGCACCAAGAGAGUUGUGCUUUUGAGUUUUUAGCCAUUGGAUGGAAAGAUAUAGGGUUGAGAUGAUGGUGGUAGGUGGAAUAGUGUUUAAUCCAAGGGCUAUUAGUAAUUAAGGAGUAGAUCCAAAGGAUAGAAACCUAUAAGUACCAAGGGGUUGGAGCUUCUAAAAGUAUUCUAGCUCAAUUUUAUAUAUAUAUAUAUAUAUAUAUAUAUAUAUAUAUAUAUAUAUAUAUAUAUUAAAAAGUCCGACUAUGGUGCUUGUAAAAACACCCAGUACUUAGUAUUUGUAAGUUUUUUCCCAUUAGAUCUAUCUGUUUGAUCAUUUCCACUCGUUAGAUCAUACUAUUCAACCAACCAUCCACUCAAUCCUAAAAAAUCACUAUCAUCCUAACUGCACUUCCUUUAAUUCAAAGAUCAAAAACCUACAAACACCAAUGACUUGUGCUUUUUAAAGUAUAGGAGUUCAAUUCAUAUAUUAAAUAUUAUAAAUUAUAUCUCUGUUUU
rnacentral:lncRNA from 1 species